rnacentral:rRNA from 1 species
AUUGAACGCUGGCGGCAUGCCUUACACAUGCAAGUCGAACGGUAACGGGCCUUCGGGUGCCGACGAGUGGCGAACGGGUGAGUAAUACAUCGGAACGUGCCCGAUCGUGGGGGAUAACGAGGCGAAAGCUUUGCUAAUACCGCAUACGAUCUACGGAUGAAAGCAGGGGACCGCAAGGCCUUGCGCGGACGGAGCGGCCGAUGGCAGAUUAGGUAGUUGGUGGGAUAAAAGCUUACCAAGCCGACGAUCUGUAGCUGGUCUGAGAGGAUGAUCAGCCACACUGGGACUGAGACACGGCCCAGACUCCUACGGGAGGCAGCAGUGGGGAAUUCUGGACAAUGGGCGCAAGCCUGAUCCAGCCAUGCCGCGUGCAGGAUGAAGGCCUUCGGGUUGUAAACUGCUUUUGUACGGAACGAAAAGCCUUCUUUUAAUACAGGAGGGUCAUGACGGUACCGUAAGAAUAAGCACCGGCUAACUACGUG